rnacentral:rRNA from 1 species
AUUGAACGCUGGCGGCAUGCCUUACACAUGCAAGUCGAACGGCAGCGGACCUUCGGGUGCCGGCGAGUGGCGAACGGGUGAGUAAAGUAUCGGAACGUACCUUUCAGUGGGGGAUAACGUAGCGAAAGUUACGCUAAUACCGCAUAUUCUGUGAGCAGGAAAGCAGGGGAUCGCAAGACCUUGCGCUGAUUGAGCGGCCGAUAUCAGAUUAGCUAGUUGGUGAGGUAAAGGCUCACCAAGGCGACGAUCUGUAGCGGGUCUGAGAGGAUGAUCCGCCACACUGGAACUGAGACCCGGUCCAGACUCCUACGGGAGGCAGCAGUGGGGAAUUUUGGACAAUGGGGGCAACCCUGAUCCAGCCAUGCCGCGUGAGUGAACAAGGCCUUCGGGUUGUAAAGCUCUUUCGGCCAGGAAGAAAUCGCGCCAGUUAAUACCUGGUGUGGAUGACGGUACCGGAAUAAGAAGCACCGGCUAACUACGUGCCAGCCGCCGCCGUAAAAC